GACGUGGUGGCCUAAUGGUUAGCGUGUUGGACACAUCCUGAUCGAGCGGUCCAGGUUCGAGCCCUGGCUGGGGUCA